rnacentral:rRNA from 1 species
UACGGAGGGUGCAAGCGUUAUCCGGAUUCACUGGGUUUAAAGGGUGCGUAGGUGGGCAGGUAAGUCAGUGGUGAAAUCUCCGAGCUUAACUUGGAAACUGCCGUUGAUACUAUCUGUCUUGAAUACCGUGGAGGUGAGCGGAAUAUGUCAUGUAGCGGUGAAAUGCUUAGAUAUGACAUAGAACACCAAUUGCGAAGGCAGCUCACUACACGAGCAUUGACUCUGAGGCACGAAAGCGUGGGGAUCAAACAGG